AAGAAAAUUAAAUAACAAUAACGAGGUUAUAUACAGGGUAUUACGGUACAGAGUCAAUGUGGAGGCUAUAUACAGGGUAUUACGGUACAGAGUCAAUGUGGAGGCUAUAUACAGGGUGUUACGGUACAGAGUCAAUGUGGAGGCUAUAUACAGGGGGUUACGGUACAGAGUCAAUGUGGAGGCUAUAUACAGGGUGUUACGGUACAGAGUCAAUGUGGAGGCUAUAUACAGGGUGUUACGGUACAGAGUCAAUGUGGAGGCUAUAUACAGGGGGUACCGGUACAGAGUCAAUGUGGAGGCUAUAUACAGGGUGUUACGGUACAGAGUCAAUGUGGAGGCUAUAUACAGAGGGUACCGGUACAGAGUCAAUGUGGAGGCUAUAUACAGGGGGGUACCGGAACAGAGUCAAUGUGGAGGCUAUAUACAGGGUGUUACGGUACAGAGUCAAUGUGGAGGCUAUAUACAGGGUAUUACGGUACAGAGUCAAUGUGGAGGCUAUAUACAGGGGGUACCGGUACAGAGUCAAUGUGGAGGCUAUAUACAGGGUGUUACGGUACAGAGUCAAUGUGGAGGCUAUAUACAGGGGGUACCGGUACAGAGUCAAUGUGGAGACUAUAUACAGGGUGUUACGGUACAGAGUCAAUGUGGAGGCUAUAUACAGGGUGUACCGG
rnacentral:lncRNA from 1 species